GAUUGCAAUCAUUUAUCGACCUCUCUGCAAUCGCGGCUG
rnacentral:ncRNA from 1 species